rnacentral:misc_RNA from 1 species
AACUUUUGACAAUGGAUCUAUUGGCUCUCGCAUCGAUGAAGAACGCAGCGAAAUGCGAUAAGUAAUGUGAAUUGCAGAAUUCAGUGAAUCAUCGAAUCUUUGAACGCACCUUGCGCUCCUUGGUAUUCCGAGGAGCAUGCCUGUUUGAGUGUCAUUAAUAUAUCAACCUUCUCUUUUUGAGUGGUUUGGAUGUGGGGGUUUGCUGGCCUCUUGAAAGGUCUUGGCUCUCCUGAAAUACAUUAGCAGAACAACCCUGUUCAUUGGUGUGAUAACUAUCUACGCUAUUGAAUGUGAAGGGCAGUUUGGCUUUCUAACAGUCCUUGGACAAGCUCAUCAUUAAUGUGACCUCAAAUCAGGUAGGACUACCCGCUGAACUUAAGCAUAUCAAUAAGCGGAGGCU